rnacentral:rRNA from 1 species
GCCAGACUCCUACGGGAGGCAGCAGUGGGGAAUAUUGCACAAUGGGGGAAACCCUGAUGCAGCGACGCCGCGUGAGUGAAGAAGUAUUUCGGUAUGUAAAGCUCUAUCAGCAGGGAAGAAAAUGACGGUACCUGACUAAGAAGCCCCGGCUAACUACGUGCCAGCAGCCGCGGUAAUACGUAGGGGGCAAGCGUUAUCCGGAUUUACUGGGUGUAAAGGGAGCGUAGGCGGCCAUGCAAGUCAGAAGUGAAAACCCGGGGCUCAACCCUGGGAGUGCUUUUGAAACUGUGCGGCUAGAGUGUCGGAGGGGUAAGUGGAAUUCCUAGUGUAGCGGUGAAAUGCGUAGAUAUUAGGAGGAACACCAGUGGCGAAGGCGGCUUACUGGACGAUGACUGACGCUGAGGCUCGAAAGCGUGGGGAGCAAACAGGAUUAGAUACCCCAGUA